AUGUAUUCGAUGACGGGACAAAGUACGAUAAGGUUGUGUUCUCCAGAGAGUCGGCGGUGCUGCGAGCCGAUUGUUCAACCCUUACCGGAAGAUCUUCCCCUAGAAGCUGAGCCGAAGCGAUUCAUUCGUGAGUAGGUUUAUGCCGUCUGCCGGACGUUAUCCCGGACCCGCAUAGCAGGAUUUUGUGCGGAACUGAGAUUGUGCUGUAUUCACUCCCCUUAAGGAUGUGCGUCCAGCACGAAUUAGGGUGGUAUCGCGAGCGUCGUCUCGCCCCUUUG
rnacentral:ncRNA from 1 species